rfam:Callithrix jacchus chromosome 4, whole genome shotgun sequence
GGUUCCAUGGUGUACUGGUUAGCACUCUGGACUCUGAAUUCAGUGAUCUGAGUUCACAUCUUGGUGGAACUU